rfam:Physcomitrella patens subsp. patens PHYPAscaffold_28 genomic scaffold, whole genome shotgun sequence.
UAAGAGGCUUUUUUUAAAGCCAUGUUUAGAUAUCUCAAAUUAUAAU